GGGUGGAAAGAUUUUUUGGUUUUGGAUGGACUCGCGGCCUAUCAGCUUGUUGGUGAGGUAAUGGCUUACCAAGGCGACGACGGGUAGCCGGCCUGAGAGGGUGACCGGCCACACUGGGACUGAGACACGGCCCAGACUCCUACGGGAGGCAGCAGUGGGGAAUAUUGCACAAUGGGCGCAAGCCUGAUGCAGCGACGCCGCGUGAGGGAUGAAGGCCUUCGGGUUGUAAACCUCUUUCAGUAGGGAAGAAGCGUAAGUGACGGUACCUGCAGAAGAAGCACCGGCUAACUACGUGCCAGCAGCCGCGGUAAUACGUAGGGUGCAAGCGUUAUCCGGAAUUAUUGGGCGUAAAGAGCUCGUAGGCGGUUUGUCGCGUCUGCCGUGAAAGUCCGGGGCUCAACUCCGGAUCUGCGGUGGGUACGGGCAGACUAGAGUGCAGUAGGGGAGACUGGAAUUCCUGGUGUAGCGGUGAAAUGCGCAGAUAUCAGGAGGAACACCGAUGGCGAAGGCAGGUCUCUGGGCUGUAACUGACGCUGAGGAGCGAAAGCAUGGGGAGCGAACAGGAUUAGAUACCCUGGUAGUCCAUGCCGUAAACGUUGG
rnacentral:rRNA from 1 species